UAGGGCGACCCUGUGCGUGUCAUUACCGAGAGACGCUUUUUUUAAUGGGGUCGGGAGGCGAGUGCGCAUGCGCAUUGCUCCUCCAGCGCUCCUUCCUGUAAUUCUGUGUAUUUCUUCCUGUAGUUCUCCUUCCGGUUGUUCUUUGCCCUUUCCCCUACCUGCGAGCCAGUCCCAGUUCCACCAGAGGAGAAGGCCAUGACCCAGUUUUAGAUUCAUCUAAUUUUUAUUCUUCAAUGGCAAGCAGAAACACCAAAAGGAUACCCAGGAUUUGGAAGCAGACUUAUUUUAUGUCAACAGGAACCAGUAACACUUGAGGAUGUUGUUGGCACUUCACCAAGGACGAGUGCAGACAGCUGCAUCCUCCACAGAGACGUGUGUGUGGAGAAGCGACUUUGGUGAACAGCAGGAAUCUGGUCUGUGGGGUAGGGACUGUGCUUUUUGCAACUGAAAACCUGUUGGGGAGUAUGUGCUUUCUCAUUUUUUAAAAUUUAAAUCUUUUUCAUUAGUACACUUUGUAGUACGUAGUGAUUACAUUCAUCAAGGGGAGGGUGGGAGCUGGUACAUGUGAUUAACGCAUCUUAAUUCUUUUUACUUCCCUUCAACUCUUGGUUCCCUUCUCAUUUUCAAAGGAUCCUCAGGUGUUGACAGCUGUGAGUCCUCACAGUACUGAGCUGGGCGUUCAUCUCAAAACCCAGAGCUUUCCAGUCCUUUGACCACUGUGUUAGGCAGCUUUCCAUCACUCUGAAAUACUUUAAAUACAUACUUUAAUAAGGGAAUGGUUUAUUUUGGCUCACAAUUUCAGAGCUAGGUAGCACAUUAUGGAUUUCAGAUUCAAAUAGUUUUUGGAAUUUUAGAUACUUCCACAUCCACAGUGAAGUAACUGAGAUUGGAACCCUUAGUGUAAACACAGAAUUCUCUCAUGUUUCUUAUACAUCUGAUAAUAAUAUCCCGAAAAUAACUUUUGCACAAAAAUUUCUUGAUAAUUUUUUACAUAAAACAAAGACUAGGUGUAUGGUGUUUCCCAUUUGGAUUGUAUCAGUGAUAUUCAAAGAGUAUUGGAUUUUGGAGCAUCUACUAUUCAGGAUUUUCAUAUUAGCAAUGCUCAGUUCACUGAUUAUUACAUAAAUGCAUAAGCCAUUAUUAUGAUGUGCCUACAGUUGAUUCAUUGAUUUAGUGGAAAAUAUACAUGUUUCUUGUUUCUACUGCAAUAAUGUUCUUUCAAAGUAAACUGAUUUUAUGGUGAAAUUCUUAUAAAUGGAAAAUUAAAUGCAAUAUUUAUUCUGUCCAUUUCAUUUUGCAACAAUCUUAUCACCUAUUUUGUAUCAUGUAUUUCAAUUGGCUGUUCAGUGAAAAAUAAUAAACUUAUAUUGUGUGACUUA